GGGAUGGGGAGGAGGAAGACAGCCCUCCGGACUGGAAGUUUGAAACCCUUUCUCCUGUUCCUGUCUUUAAAACACGAACUGGCAGGCUGGACUUCUUAUAUAACACUCCUUUAGUGACUGAAGCACUUGUCACAACCACCUUGGGGACCUAGGUUCAAUGCCCCCACUUUCAGGAAGUCAAGCUCUUUGCUCAGAUAGCACGUGGCUGAGCAGCGGCAGUAAAACCAGAGUCCCUAUUUCCACUCUUAGACCAGUGAGCCCUCCUGCACCCACGACGGAGACUGAGGAGGAGAAAAAUAACCAGCCAUGCAAAAUCCAAAAAAAAAAAAAAUCCUCUCAAGAUUAUGAAAUCAAAGAGCAUUUUGUUGUUUCUUGGACAUUCUUCUUACUACUCUGAGGCAGCGCAAUUCAACAGGCAUCUCUUUCUUGUUGUUAAAGUACUUGUUCUAUCUCCUGCCUCUUUUACCAACUUUCACAUCGACCGAGAACGCAAGCGUUUACCUGGGCUCCAUCCUUGGACGGCGAACUGGUCGCGCAGGCUUCCGGCCUCCUCCUCCCUGGGAUUUGGCUCCAAGGCUCCCGCAAAAUCUCGAAAUCCCCCCCAGAUCGGCGCGGCCACUGAGGGAAGCAGCCCGGCUCUGAACAAGCCCAGGCAAGCCCAGGCAGAGCCCGCUUCGCGGUCCUUCCUCCUGCGCGAACCACCCGGCCCCGGGGCGAGAGACGCGUCUCUCGGGCCGCAGAUCCGUGGAGUCGUCUCUCUCCAGAGGACCGGGCGCCGGCCCUCUCCUCCACCUGAGAAGGAAAAGGGUGCAGGUAGGGCGCGGAGGGGCGGGUGGGGGCGGCGCCAGCCCUCAGGAACGGGGCGGGAGCGCUGCAACCACCCGAGUCACGUCGGGGUGGGGUGUGCGCUAGGACAGAAGACCGGGGUGCCGCGGCAGGGCGCGCUGCCGGGGCACCGAGCGCGCUCCGCCUUGGAGCCGGUCCCCCAUAGGCACCGGGUCCCGGGCCCUCCACCGCUGCCGCCUGCGGGGACUGGUGCGUCCUCUGCGACAGCGCAAACAGCGCGGCGCCCCUCGUCUCCUCCCGGGGCGCGCUCCCGGAGCCGACGACCGGACUCCACGGCCAUCGCGACUCUUCCGGGAGCUUCUCGCCGCUCCGCGGCGGGACCGAAACCCAGGCAGGCCGAGGGGGGCCUGUCCCCGGAGGCACAGAUGAGGACGCGGCGAUGCGCCGGGCAGCCCGUGAGGAGCGCGCCUCCCUUUCCUCGCGGUUUCUACACUGCCCUGCAGCCACCAAAAUGCCUUGACCUGGGCGGCUGACAGAUGAAGGAGUACAUUUGGGAGACUCCAGACUGCAGUAACUAGAGGACUUGAAAUAAGAUUUAUAUCCACUUUUCCAUUCAGAGAGGCCAAACCACAUUCAGGCCUCUCCCCCCCCCCUUAAUCAUGUAUGUAUAAGUGAGGACUGGUUUAUAAAGGCAUCUCCAUAUGUCAGUCUGUCUCACCGAGGGUGUUCAGCCCAUCUGUAUUUCCUGCAGAAUUCAUCCCAUACCCAGAUGCAGAUGUACACACACCCCUGACUAGCAAGCAAGGGCACUAUAGAGAAAGGGGGCUACAGAGGUAGCAUGCACAAGCUUCAAUUUAUGGCCCCCACCCAGACACAGCUUCAAAACAGUGCACUCAGGAGGCAUUCAUGUCUUAAAUUUAACCACAGAAGCCCAAGGAGUCCUACUUCCAAAUCAGCCUAUGAGAUUGAUCUUGUCCAAAAAUGUGAAUUAAAAAAAAAAAAAAGGCUAGCGACUUCCCUGGUGGUCCAGUGGCUAAGACUCCGUGCUGCCAAUGCAGGGGACCUGAGUUUAAUCCCUGAUCAGGGAACUAGAUCCUACAUGCUGAAACCAAAGAUCCUGCAUGCUGCAACUAAGAACCAACAAAGCCAAAUAAAUAAAUAUUUUAAAAAUUAAAAAAGGAUAGUGAUAUCCUAGGAUUACAUCAUACUGAUGGUUGCACAAUUUUGUGAAUCUAGUCUCCCUCCAUAUCUAAAUGUGGGACAGUUUCAGGGCCCUCUUAAGAUCCUCAAAUUUGAAGAUGCUCAUGGUGAAGAACCCGCCUACCAAUGCAGGAGACCUAAGAGACUCAGGUUCGAUCCCUGGGUUGGGAAGAUUUCCUAGAGAAGCAAAUGGCAACCCACUCCAGUAUUCUUGCUUAGACAAUCCCAUGGACAGAGGAGCCUGACAGGCUACAGUCCAUAGGGCCACAAAGAGUCAGACAUGACUAAAGUGACUUAGCACACACGCAAGUUCCUUACAUAAAAUAAGGUAAUAUUUUAUUUUAAUAUAAUCUAUGCACAGUCUCCUGUAUACUUUAAAUCAUCUCUAGAUCACUCAUAACACUUGAUACAAUAUAAAUACAAUGUAAAUAAGUAUAGCAUUGUGUUAGUCACUCAGUUGUGUCUGACUCUGGGUGAUUCCACUGACUGUAGCCUAGCUCCUCUGUUCAUGGAAUUCUCCAGGCAAAAAUACUGGAUUGGGUAGCCAUUUAAGUUUAAUGUAAAUGAUAUGUAAAUAGUUGCUGGCCAUUGGCAAAUUCAAGUUUUGCUUUUGGGGACUUUCUGGACAUAGUUUCUUUUAAUUUUUUCAGUCAACUGUCAGUUGAAUUCAUACAACUGAUAUGGAUACAAAACCCGUGGAUACAGAGGGGUGACUGUAUACUGGAGCCCACCAAACUGUACUUUUAAGUGGUGAAAUUUAUGGUAUGUAAGUUAUAUCUCAGUAGAAGGAAGAAAGGAGGGCACCAUUCUUUUUAGUGGCCCAAAAUAAAUGGCAUGAACCCAGCAGAUUUCUGAAAGUCCCAGAACUCUUUUUUUUUUUUUUAACUUCAGCACUUGAUAAAUGCUAACUCCCCUGACUCAGAAGAUUCCUUGGUGGUCUAGUAGUUAAGACUUUGUGUUCCACUGCAGGGGUUGUGGGUUCGAUACCUGGUUGGGGAACUGUGAUCCCAUAUGCCACAGGAAACAAUAAAAAGAAAUAAAUAAAUUGGGCCAAGAUACAAAAAAAAUCUAAUCCUGGUGUAGGUAACACAAGGGAGUCGGGCAUCCUGUGGCCAUUGUGCCUGGACCCUGGCAGGUCCUGACAAGUCCAAAGCAGCCUGUCUUUUAUGCCCUCAAAGACAACUGUGGUGACACGGGGUCUGAGACUGGACCCUGCAGAAGAAAGGGGGCUUGGUGGUGGGGAGGACUUGCCUAUUGCAACCCUGCAUCUGUGAAUGACAGAUGUUGCUGCCACAUUGAUAAACAAGGAUGCUGCAAUCUUCAAACCACCACAUUAUAGCCACCUAGACCAUAAGCCCUGAGGGAACUCAGGAUGGAGGCAGGAAGCACCCCCUCCCCAGCUAGAAGUCAGCCACUGCAGCCACCACCAGGGGGCACCCUGAGGAGACUCAGGAUGAGAAAACAUGGUAUUCUGGCCCCAGAAAGCUGAGGGCAUACCAAGGAAUGACAUCGGCAAGCCCAGACUUUUGCAUCUUUCCCAUGCAUAGACAUGCGCCAAAUUCUUAACUUGAGAUGUCUGGUGUUCUUUAACAGUAAGGUGGCUCAGUGGUAAAGAAUCCGACUGCCAGUGCAUGAGACGAGGAUUCAAUCCCUGGGUUGGGAAGAUCCCUGGAGGAAGGCAUGGCAACCCACUCCAGUAUUGCCUGGGGAAUUCCAUGGACAGAGGAGCCUGGCAGGCUACCGUCCACAGGGUUGCAAAAGAGUCGGACACGACUGAACAACUCAACAACAACAAUAGCAGCAAUAUUUUGACGUUCUGACUACUUGGUCUUUGUUGCAGAAACUCCUAUGUAUCCUGGCUCCUCGCUUGCCUCUUUGGAGCAGUCCCGCAGGGCUAUCUGAGAGGUUAUGUCCUGGGCUUAAGUUCUCAGAGUGUCCGCCAAAUAAAACAAAACUCUCAGCUCUGAGGUUGUUGUUUUUUUUCAGUUGAUAUACCGGAA
ensembl:lncRNA